AYUUYWCCCUCACUUAGGAGRGUUUGAUCCUGGCUCAGGAUCAACGCUGGCGGCGUGCAUGRGGCAUGCAAGUCGAACGGACGGCAUCGGGCUUGCCUGGUGUCGUUAGUGGCGGACGGCUGAGUAACGCGUAGGUGACCUGCCCCGAAGUGGGGRAUWACUKCCCGAAAGGUGGCUAAUACCGCAUGUGGUGRUGCGUUC
rnacentral:rRNA from 1 species